rnacentral:rRNA from 3 species
UCAGUUAUGGUUUUUUUGAUGGUACGCACAGUUACUUGGAUAACUGUGGUAAUUCUAGAGCUAAUACAUGCAAAUAGAGCCCCGACCAUUCGCUGGAAGGGGUGCUUUUAUUAGAUCAAAACCAAUCAGGCUCGAAAGGGCUUGUUUGUCUUGGUGACUCUGAAUAACUUUGGGCUGAUCGCAUGGUCUUGUACCGGCGACGCAUCUUUCAAAUGUCUGACUUAUCACACUUUCGAUGGUAGGCUCUGCGCCUACUAUGGUUAUAACGGGUAACGGGGAAUCAGGGUUCGAUUCCGGAGAGGGAGCCUGAGAAACGGCUACCACAUCCAAGGAAGGCAGCAGGCGCGCAAAUUACCCACUCCCAGCACGGGGAGGUAGUGACGAAAAAUAACGAUGCAGAACUCAAUCCGAGGCUCUGCAAUCGGAAUGAG